rnacentral:lncRNA from 1 species
UCUCAGCUUGCUGUGUUCAGACCUAAAGUGGAUGAGAUCUCUCUCCUUACUAUCAACACUACCAACUUUUUCCCUGUAUGAUCGAUCUUAUCCCACUUUGCUCUGUCUUUUUUUCUCUCACUAUUGGGUUCGAUUGGCUGAAAUUUGAGAUUAUUUUUUUGUUUACUUAUGGAAAUAUGGUGAGAUGGGGUACUUUGCUCUGUCUUUUUUCUCUAUCUAUUGGUUUCAAUUGGCUGAAAGUUGAGAUUUUGUUGUUUGCUUAUGGAAAUAUGGUGAAAUGGGGUUAGAUCUAAGAUGGGUUUGUUCUGGUUUUAGAUUAGGUUUGGGGGUUUUGGUUUGGUUAAGGGAGAACAAAGAGGGAUGUCAUUGUUCUUAAUUUUGAGUCUUGAUCAUGUCUUAGUGAAGGUAGAAACUUGUAAUUUUGAGUUUUGGACAUUGUCUCCAUAGCAAAAGUUCUACUCCCUUCAUCUUAAUUCAUGUGAGUUGUUUGACUAGGCACAAAGUUUUAGGGAAAAAGAAAAAAGAAUCUAGAAACUUGUGGUAACAUACCAUACACAAUUCCGUGGCUAAAUGAGAUGUUUAAAGUUAAAUUGUUACCAAAUAUAAAAUAGUAUCAUUCCUUUUUUGACAAACUAAAAAGGAAGAUGUCACCUAAAUUAGGACAAAGGUAAUACUUGGUAAUUAGUAUGUAGGAAGAACUUAAUGUGAUUCGUCCUUUCUUCUUGGCUUUAUAUUAUGUUAUCGUUUUUAUCUCAGGAUUAUUCCUAAACAUCUGUUUUCUCUCUGUUUAGUUUGGCCGAAUAUCCCUUUAUUUUUAACUCUAGAACUAGAACUGUUGAACUUUAUUAGUAAUAUUCUUAUAGUGAUGAAUGCUUCUUUCCUUCUUUGGAACAAUAUUCCAUCAUUUUUAAGUAUCUGAAUUUUCCUUUAGUUAGUACUUGGGCAUGUGCUGAUGAAUGCUUGUUUCGUUCUUAAUCUUAUGUUUGCCUAUCAUCACUAAUUCUAUCUUACUCUUGUUGGUGCUGUUUGCCUAAUGUCUAUGAUAACAAUAACAUACCCAGUAUAAUCCUACAUAGUGGAGUCUGGGGGUACUCAGACCUUACCCCUACCUUGUGGAGAUAGAGAGGUUGUUUCCAAUAGACUCUUAGCUGUUAGCUCAAUGUCUAUGCCUUAAUGCAUUCGUGAAUUUUGUUUUAGGAACCAUUGGUAAUGUGCAACUUAUAGGUUACUAGAAAAACAUCAAGAAGUAAACAAUUGCAAUCAUUUAUAUAAUUAUUGAAAGCAACUCUAUGAAGCUUAAUGGUAAUUUUUAAUAGAAAAUAGUAACAAAACAUCAAGAAUAAAAAAAUUGCUAUCCUUUAAAUAUUUAAAGGUCUUUUUUUGUGACUGAGAAAUCCAUCUGGGACCAACCGCAUCCUUUGGGACUCGGGGAUAAUGGGCCAUGGGCUUGCCUCUCUUACACAAGUGACGGUAGAGCAAAUGGCUUGAGAGGUUUAAGAAAGUAAAAUGUGAGUCUUAAAUUGUCUUUUACUUUCUCAAAAAAUAAAAUUUGAGUCUUGAGCUUGAUUAGUAAAGCCUUUGUUCCUCUUUGGCCACAAUCUGGGAAUUACAAGAUACACAUUUGCCCAUCAUGCGAGAAUAUUAAGGCAAUUUCAUUAAUUGGGUUCUCCAUUUACUUGGAGAGCUAACUUUAAAUUUUGGGGUGAACUUAGUCUUUUUCAUAACAUGGGUUCUCCACUUUAGUUAGAGAAGUAACUUUAAAUUUUGGGGCAAUAGUACCUGACUGCUCGUAUGUGAAGCUGUCUUUUGGCCUUGUGAUGCUGCUACUUGACCCCUUGACUUGAUAUCACUGCAAAUGAGCCAGCAGACUUCUGACAGGGGUUCUGGAGUUUUGCAUCAUGACUGACCUUCCAAGGGCUCUCAUCUUCUGGAUUUGUUCCCUCAUCUGCAGCUCGUACUUUUCAUUGAACGCCUUACAGCCACCUCUGUCUUCUGCAUUAUUUUUGUUACAUUGAGACGAAGCAGAGCUAAUGGAUUCCUGUAUCGGGCUUUUAUCUGGACAGGCCAACAAUGCUGCCGUCUUGCUUACUUGUAG